rnacentral:rRNA from 1 species
CUACGGGCGGCACCAGUGAGGAAUAUUGCACAAUGGGGGGAACCCUGAUGCAGCAACGCCGCGUGGAGGAUGACGCAUUUCGGUGUGUAAACUCCUUUUAUAUGUCAAGAAAAUGACGGUAGCAUAUGAAUAAGCACCGGCUAACUCCGUGCCAGCAGCCGCUGGUAAUACGGAGGGUGCAAGCGUUACUCGGAAUCACUGGGCGUAAAGGACGCGUAGGCGGGUUGGAAAGUCAGGUGUGAAAUCCUACAGCUUAACUGUAGAACUGCACUUGAAACUUCUAAUCUAGAGUAUGGGAGGGGGAGAUGUAAUUAGUGGUGUAGGGGUAAAAUCCGUAGAUAUCACUAGGAAUACCUAAAGCGAAGGCGAUCUCCUGGAACAUUACUGACGCUAAGGCGUGAAAGCGUGGGGAGCAAACAGGAUUAGAUACCCCUGUAGUC